rnacentral:tRNA from 1 species
UGGCUGAGUGGUAAAGCGUUUGGCUUCUAUACCGAGGUCCCGGGUUCGAAUCCUGG